AGGAUGCAUGCUGCCACCCUUUGACAGGCACAGGGUUACUUUGACCUGUUAACAGGCGCAGGGUUACUUUGACCUGUUAACGCGCAGAGAUGCUUUGGACAUCUGACAGGCCAUGUCAAAUUCCUUUUCCGGUUAAAGAUCUCGUCGAGAACGGGUGUGCGCGCAAACGAAUCUUUUGUAAGAAGUGCCAUCAUAGGAAAAUUCCAUUGUGAAACAACUCGACACUGUACGGAAAAGACAUACCUUUCGGUUGAUCGCGAUAUUUUGGCUCACGCAACCGCUGAUUCCCUUGCUCGUACAAGUGGAGUGACGGGGCGACAGAUCCUGCUCGGAGGAAAGACGCCACAGCUUCAAAGACCGGACGGUCUUUCGCUUAUUGCGUGGGGCAGCGACCCACGCUAUUUAAACGCACCCCAUCGUCCAGUCGCCGUCUAAGUAAGCCGCAGAGCGCAGUCAGCCGGAGGCUGGAAUAAGCAAACGCCUUCCCGCUUGGGACCCUUCGCCUGCGAGGAGCACCCUAGACAGGGUUAAACAGCAGCGCGCGCCAAGGCGCGUGAAGAAGAAGCAGGAGCAAAUCAGGGAUGCUGCAAUGCUAAAGCCACCUGCGGCCUUCGUUUUCUCGGUUGCCCGAGCGCAGACCAUGCUGCAGUGAUGAAGCCAACUGCGGCCAUCGUCUUCCUGGUUGCCCAAUCGUCGGCCAAACAGAGGCAGAAUUCUCCGCCUUCGGCUGUCCUCUUCGCCCCGACUCUGUCCAGGAUUCCUCUUCCAGCAGCUUCAGGGAGCACAGUUCACCAAAUCAUAGGGUUUAGCGGAGGCUAGCCUCGUCUAUUACCAUCCUAAUGUUUAAAGUAUAAAAAUCUCACAAAAUUUGUAUAUUCAUGAAGAAUAAUUAUCAGCCAACCUCAUUAA